rnacentral:tRNA from 1 species
GGGCCCAUAGCUCAGUCGGUUAGAGCAGCGGGCUCAUAACCUGCCGGUCCUAGGUUCAAGUCCUAGUGGGCCCACCA